rnacentral:rRNA from 1 species
AUUGAACGCUGGCGGCAUGCCUUACACAUGCAAGUCGAACGGCAGCACGGGUGCUUGCACCUGGUGCCGGUUGGCGAACGGGUGAGUAAUACAUCUGAACCUGUCCUUAAGUUGGGGAUAGCGCGGCCAAAGCCGGAUUAAUACCGCAUACGCACUACGCCUAAGAGCGAGAGCCCUUCGUCUCUCGCCCUAGCGCGUUUGCCGAUGGCUGAUUAGCUAGUUGGCGGGGUAAAGGCCUACCAAGGCGACGAUCAGUAGCUGGUCUGAGAGGAUGACCAGCCACACUGGAACUGAGACACGGUCCAGACUCCUACGGGAGGCAGCAGUGGGGAAUUUUGGACAAUGGGCGAAAGCCUGAUCCAGCAAUGCCGCGUGUGUGAAGAAGGCCUUCGGGUUGUAAAGCACUUUUGUCGGGAAAGAAAUCCUGCGCCCUAAUACGGUCGGGGGAUGACGGUACCGAAAGAAUAAGCACCGGCUAACUACGUG